rnacentral:rRNA from 1 species
AUUGAACGCUGGCGGCAGGCCUAACACAUGCAAGUCGAACGGUAACAGGGAUCAGCUUGCUGGUUUGCUGACGAGUGGCGGACGGGAGAGUUAUGUCUGGGACACUGCGUGAUGGAUGAGGUUCGCUACUGGAAGCUGUAGCUAAUACCGCAUUAAGUCGCAAGACCAAAGAGGUUCACAUCCGGGGCUCUUGCCUGCGGCUAUGUCCGAAUGGGAUUAGCUAGUAGGUGGGGUAAAGGCUUACCUAGGCGACGAUCCCUAGCUGGUCUGAGAGGAUGACCAGCCACACUGGAACUGAGACACGGUCCAGACUCCUACGGGAGGCAGCAGUGGGGAAUAUUGCACAAUGGGCGCAAGCCUGAUGCAGCCAUGCCGCGUGUAUGAAGAAGGUCUUCGGGUUGUAAAGUACUUUCAGCUGGGAGGAAGGGAGGAAAGUUAAUACCUUUGCGCAUUGACGUUACCAGCAGAAGAAGCACCGGCUAACUCCGUG